rnacentral:lncRNA from 1 species
UCCUAGAUUACAUUGUUGUAUACCUGCCCGAACAGUGGCAUGGAUGAGUGCUUUUACAGGAAAGUGACAGAUGUUGUGCAUGGAAAUUAGCUUGCAAAAGAUCCAAAUUUAAAUGAUAUUUAUUAGGUGAUUUUGCUGGUGCAAAUUUUAAUAAAACCAGAGAUUAUGGAAGGAAAUAACUGAGGAAAGGGUUGAAACUUCCAGUGAAUAUUCCUACCUCCCAAUGGUCAUGCUGGAAAAUGCUGCUUUAUGAUUGAUCUCCAUGUAGCAUGCUGAUUUUGUAGAUCCUGGAAAUCAUGAGCAUUAAUUAGAUUACAUAUUCUGCGAAGGCAUUGAAAUCUUGUGUUUUAUACCAUAAAACAUGUACUGUGUGACAAGCAAGAAUCCUUUUUCUUUUUCCAUCCCAUUAUGAUGGCAUCAGUCUUAAAUUGGCAGUUUGUUAUCUUUAUAGCAAAACUGACAAUUGAUUGUAACUGAGUGCAGAUAUAUUAUAUGAUUCAUGGUCCCCUGCGAUGACUGUUAGUUCUGUCUGCAUCAGCAUUCUCUCAAUGCUAUCAAGCUCAACUGUGAAGGUUCGAUCUCAUGGUCAAUUUCAUUUUUGUGCUUAAUUACCUUCAUUCUCUAGUAAAAUAACAAGGCAUAGUGUGCUGCAAUUUCCUUUAUCCUUUUAGAAGUAAGAAGGCGAUUAUGUUUAUUCUUCUAUAAUAUGAUGAAUUAAAUGAUGAACCAUGAACCAGAGAGGAUUGGGCCUCUGAAGUCGAUUCAUUUUGCUUUCACUAAUAUCAUGUUAAAUGGUUAUGGCUUGCAGCAACGCCCGGAAGACAAUGAUCGAUAUGUAAAGAACUGUAGAAAUGGCAGAUCUCCAAAGGAGACUAGGUGGUGGUUCCAUGAUGAUAAAGUGUAGUAAAUGAGGCAUCUUGAUGCACAUUAAUUCAAAUAAUCAUAGUGAAGCCUUUUUGUUGAAAGGACAAUGUAAACAUAAGGAGAAGCAUUCUGAAAAAAAAAAAAUCAUUCUGAAUGCACAUAGCCUCCUGUAAAUGGCGAUGCCUGGUGUGUAAAGAAAGAGGAACAAUGUGCUUUUAGUUACAUGUGAGGAACAAACCUGGUUCUCUAGUUACAUUACAAGGUAGAUCAUUGGUGCUUUGUAAGACGCCGCACACAAUUGAAACUGUUAAAUCCUUAUGUAAUAAUUUCC